UGGGGAAUUUUGGACAAUGGGCGAAAGCCUGAUCCAGCAAUGCCGCGUGCAGGAUGAAGGCCCUCGGGUUGUAAACUGCUUUUGUACGGAACGAAAAGCCUGGGGCUAAUAUCCCCGGGUCAUGACGGUACCGUAAGAAUAAGCACCGGCUAACUACGUGCCCG
rnacentral:rRNA from 1 species